rnacentral:rRNA from 1 species
CCUACGGGUGGCAGCAGUGGGGAAUAUUGGGCAAUGGGCGCAAGCCUGACCCAGCAACGCCGCGUGAAGGAAGAAGGCUCUCUGGUUGUUAACCUCCUUUAAGAGGGAAGUGCAGAGGACGGUACCUCUUGAAUAAGCUACGGCUAAUGACGUGCAAGCAGCCGCGGUAAUACGUAGGUGGCAAGCGUUGUCCGGAUUUACUGGGUGUAAAGGGCGUGCAGCCGGGAAGACAAGUCAGAUGUGAAAUCCCGCGGCUCAACCGCGGAACUGCAUUUGAAACUGUUGUUCUUGAGUACCGGAGAGGUGAUCGGAAUUCCUUGUGUAGCGGUGAAACGCGUAGAUAUAAGGAAGAACACCAGUGGCGAAGGCGGAUGACUGGACGGCAACUGACGGUGAGGCGCGAAAGCGUGGGGAGCAAACAGGAUUAGAUACCCCAGUAGUC